rnacentral:tRNA from 1 species
GCGAGAGUGGCGGAAUUGGCAGACGCGCUGGAUUUAGGAUCCAGUGCCCGAAAGGGCGUGGAGGUUCAAAUCCUCUCUCUCGCA